CUCAGAGCCUGGAACGAAAGAAAAACACCGUAAGUUAAAAGAUGAAGCACUUCUCAGGAGCAACAAGUGGAAAACAACACCAAAAGCUGCUCGAUGAAGCUCUCCUCAGGGAAAACGCGGUGAAGAGAACCCCAAAAGCUGGAUGGGGCAGAACUCCUCAGGGCCGUACUGAAGACAACACCAAAAGCUGCAUGAUGAUGCAUUCCUCCGGAGUCCCGAAGUGAAGAGAACCCCCAAAGCUGCACGAUGAAGAACUCCUCUGGAACCACAAGGCGAAGAAAACGCAAAAAGCUCCAUGAAGAAUUACUCCUCAAGUGCCACAGUGAAGAAAACGCAAAAAGCUGAAUGAUGAAGCACUCCUCAGGGGAAACGUGGUGUGGAGAACCCAAAGAGCUGCACGCUGAAGACAUCCUCAGGGAAACGUUGGAAACGCAGUGAAGGAAACACAAAAAGCUGGUGGCAGAUGCACUCCUCAAGUUGCAGUGAAGAAAACACCAAAAGCUGCUCAAGAAGGCAUUCCUCAGAGGCUGCAGUGGAGAAACACCAAAAGCUGGACCAUGAAGCUCUCCUCAGGGGAAACGUGCUGAAGAGAUCCCGAAAAGCUGCAUGAUGAAGAAUUCCUCGUAGGGCGCGACGAAGGAAACCGCAGAAACUGCACGCAGAGGCACUCCUCAGGGGCUGGCAUGAGAAAAAAGAACACCAAAUGUUAGAAGAUGAAGCACUUCUCAGGGGCAACAAGGUGAAAACGAGACCAAAAGCUGCACAAUGAAACUCUCCUUAGGGAAAACGUGGUGAAGAGAACCCCAAAAGCUGGACGCAGAAGCACUCCUCCAGUCGCAGUGA